ensembl:lncRNA
CAGAAACCAGAGAUUUGUUGUUGCUGAGUAGUGCAGUCGGCAGAGCUCGAGCCGCUAUUGGCCUAGGUUGGAUUUCUUUUAGUGAUUCCUGAACAGAUGAUGUGCCUACAACCAUAUGGCAGACCUCGGGGUCCUCCUUUGUGCUGUGACUGAUGUGACUCCCAUCAACUUUAAAGGGCCUCACUUUAAAAGCACGCCCCCCCCCCCCUCACCCUGCUAAACCCCACCUUCCUCUUCCUCUGCUGCUGCUUAUCUGCAGGAUCAAUGGGGAGUCAACUCUACGUCGAUCUGGCAAAGUGUGCCCUUCGUUUUGUAUACAGCCUCCCUCCUCCUCUUCUCCACCCCUCCAGCCGUGCAGCCUGUCCACUCACAGCGCCAGACUUUGUUUUUUGGUGAAAAGGACCGGCUCAAAUGUCCCAUGCAGCCAGCAGCAGCUGCUCCUGGACCUCGCCAUUCUUCAGCACAAAAGAGGAGAGAGGGCCCAGGUCUCGCUGCACCUUUGUUUGGGGCCCCUCCUGUCGUUUUCUGCUCUUUGUGUCCAUUGAUGGGGGCGUAGACGUGUUGGCUGUAGCUUUUUUUUUCUUUCUUUUUUGCCAGAGUUUUGUUUUGGUGUGGGUGUGCAGUGGGUGGAGGUGCGGCACAGGCACAUUUAGCCAUCUGAUCUUCCUCCUCUGCAGCAUACAAGGAUACGGGCCACUGCUGUGUCACUCAAAUCUGGCCUCUAAUCUACAUUAUUACAUAAAUUAUGGUGGCUUUGGACUCAUUUCAGUGUUGAAAUUCUGCCAUGUUGUCUGUAAGGCUAAAUGCAUACACAGCAAUUUGCCGUGUUGAACCAGCAGCAGCUGAGCCAGGCCCUCGAGGGCCUCAACGCUCAAUGGAGAAACAGACCCGUGUUUUGGCAACAGCUGGCAGCGCUUCAGCUCUCUGAGUCCACUUUAUCUUAACAAGCUGCAACGCUGGACAAAACAGAUAAUCUCUUUGUCUUCAUAUUUACUUAUAAACACUCUUGUUACCCGAAAGAUGAAAUUGUCAUGCAAACAAAUGUAUUUUCACUGAUUUCUAAUUAACUUGUAAAAUUGCUGAAGUUUUCUCUGUUACAAAUACAAACGAGCUUUGGUUUGCUUCUUUAGAUGGUGGCGUGUUUACACCGGAUCUUUGUG